GGAGAUUUAGCUCAGUGGCAGAGCGCUUGCCUAGGAAGCGCAAGGCCCUGGGUUCGGUCCCCAGCUCCG
rnacentral:tRNA from 1 species